UCCCAUGUAUCCGCUACCCAGUUUCCCCCAGUGGAAAACUAUGGCACGUCUUGCAAAACUGUGGCACAAUAUCACAAUCAAGAUAUUGAUGUGGAUACAGUCAAGAUACCAAGAAUUUCCAUCACUACAAAGCAGGAACACCCCUUGGAGCAAUAACACCCAAAUACCUGAAAUGUGAAGAUGACAAGCAUGAGUAUCCUCUCCUUUUGUGCCUGAAUUUCCUGCUUUAAUCAGAAAAAAAUACUUUUAAAAAGUGCAGGCAAUGUUCUUUCAGGGUUCUCAAGCAAGAAAAACAUCCCUUUGCCCAUGUUGCUUCCACACCAUGCAGCUAAUCUUUGAUGACACAGAGUAACAUUUUACCAAUCUCAAUAACACCUGCCCUAAUGAAGUCCCUGCAUUGACAGACCUGUCUGAAGCCAGACUUCAAAACCUCAGCAAUAUCCUGACUGAGGUCUCCUCUCUCUGAGACAUUAGUAGGCUCUGUGAAGCGAGUGCUGCCCUCUUACCGCAUGGCUCUGUCCUGUUUACUGGUUGUGCAAGUAUAAUUUGGGAAGCCAGAAUUCACAGGAGAAACUUCAAACCUUCUACCUAUGGGAAAUUAAGGGGUGGCAUUAGUAACCCCACAUUUCAGAUAAGAAAACCGAGGGUUGGAAAGAUGAAGAAAUUUCCCCAAGCUCACAGAGCUGGUAAGUGACAGAACCUAGAUUGAAAUUGAGGCCUCUAACCAUUAAGCUAAAGUCUAAAAAGAAAUAAAUUUUAUUGUAUGAAUUUCGACAGUUUUAAGUAUUGCAAGUAAAUCCGAUGACCAAUAUCCCAACAUCAGAAUUCUGAUAGGUAGGAGAUAAAAAGAUACCUACUACCCUGGACUAAUUGCAAGCAAUUAUAAGUACAAAGGGCAUAUUCCACUAAGCUACCGGUGUUACACUCUACAUGAUGUUAAAACAGGAACGUGAUUCCUAACACACCCCAGCGUGGGUGCCACUCUAUAAUUACACUGUUAGCAGCUCUGUAAUGAGUACUUUCUUUUUACUCCUCCAAUCAAUACAAAUGCCUAUCAACGUAAAAUAGCCACGCAGCUUUCUACAGUCUAAAGAGUAAAAAGCAAUCCAGGAUGACAGAGUAUCUAUAAUAUAUUUAAGCAUAUUGCUUCUUUUUAAAAAUGCAUUACUGGUAUUAUUUCGCAUGUAUUGAGGAUGGUAAGCAUGUGGGAAUAAUUAGAACAAUGACCACCUCAGAUGGAAAACAUAGAUGCCUGGCUGUACUGAUAAUAAAAGGUGCUGUCGGAGGCAAAUCACACCCCAUUACGACACAAAUAGGAAACAUUAUUAAUGCUUAAUUCUGACUGUGUCAAGAAUCACUCUGCUUUCGUUCAUUGCUGAUAACAUCAUUGCCUUGACCUUAUUGCAAAAUUAAUGGUAGGCAUUAUAUUAUGUUAUAUUCAUCAUAGCAUAUUGAAAAUUUGUGUGUGUGUAUUUGUAGCCUUUGCAAUUUUUCUCUUUGUACUAACAUAUCGCUUAGUUGUAACUUUGUUCAAUGCUCUUUUAAAAAUGCAAAGCCUCAGAGCAAAACCAGAGAAAAACUCUUUUCGCAACAUUCAAAACUAUUUAAGACCAGCUUAAUUUAAAUUGCCAUGACCUGUAAUGACUCUUGUGAGCUGGGUCCUCAUUUGGUUUCUUGUUUUUUAACUGUAUAUACUUUGUGAUACAUAGCUAAAGACAAUACUAUAGGAAGUAAGGAUUUUUUGUAACUCAUUUAACCUCUUUUUACUAAAAAUUGAUGGUAAUUUUUAAGUAGUGUAACUAGAAACCUUUAUCUGAAUCUUCCCUGGCAACUGUUUUGGGUCCUUCUCUUCUGGCCUUACACCAUCUCUCUAUGCCUGGAUAUAUGGCUCCUGCUGCAAGACCCUUAUUCAGUCUUAGUUCAUGCUUGACAAGUUCCUGGAAGGACAGUCUUUUGAUGUUGAGUCUUCUUUUGUUAAUGUUAGGAAUGCCUAUGUAAUGAUGACCUGUAUUCAUUGUAGUGACUUGUGGUUUUUGGUUUUUUUUUUUUUUUGGUUGGUUGGUUGGUUUC
rnacentral:lncRNA from 1 species